rnacentral:rRNA from 1 species
UACGUAGGGGGCUAGCGUUGUCCGGAUUUAUUGGGCGUAAAGAGCGUGUAGGCGGCUUGAAAGGUCCGCUGUGAAAACUCGGGGCUCAACCCCGAGAGGUCGGUGGAAACCAUCUGGCUAGAGUCCGGAAGAGGAGAGUGGAAUUCCCGGUGUAGCGGUGAAAUGCGUAGAUAUCUGGAGGAACACCGGUGGCGAAGGCGGCAUCCUGGACCGACACUGACGCUGAGGAGCGAAAGCCAGGGGAGCAAACGGG